rnacentral:misc_RNA from 1 species
UAAUAAGUGUUUUAUGGCACUUCUUAAAUCCAUAUCCACCUUGUGUGCAAUGUCAGGUCGAUUCUUCUUUUAUUGAGAAGCGGACCAAACAUCAACCUUAUUUUUUAACUGUCUUGUCUGAAAAAUAUUAUGAAUAAACAAUUCAAAAUA